GGUCCAAAGCCUGUCAUAAGUCGUGUUAUGUCUCCCUCCACAACUAAUGUGGGACUAAACCCAACAGAAGACACAUCUUUGAUUCUACCGUCCUCCAUGACCUCGUGUGGAUGGGGGAGUUCGAUCCUGCAGCCAUGCCCAUGUCAGAAUUGACUCCAGUCACAGAUCGAUCCUGCAGCCAUGGCCAUAUCUGAAUCGCCUUCAGUCAUAUAGCUGCAAGGUGGAGAAGCCACGUUCCCAUGUCUGCCUCGACGCGAUCUCUUCGUGUCAUGCAGAUCAUGCACAUCAGCUCAGCCAUGCACAUCUUAUGCUUCUAAUCAGAUCCGUUUUGUUGGCGUAUGGAUCGGCAAUUGAUAGUGCAAGCUCGAAUUGUAUGAUCAAUCAAGGUUAGCUUCUUCAGCAUAUUUAUUAAUUAAUAUACAUAUGCAGAAUUGCAGAGGCUUAAUAUCUUAUUAUGUCAUAUACGUCUGUUAAAUCUCAUAGUAUUGUGUAACCAUACAUCACCCAUUGGAAGCUACCCUAUGCUUCAGACAUGUAGAGAAAUCAUAAUGGGCCCCGGACCCAGCCGGCGACGACUUAUAUCAGGACUACACGUCCACCUACUAACGACCAUGGCUGGGAACUACAAUGUGAAAUGGCUGUAUGUCGUGCUCCAUCUCAGGUUUUGUCAUCUUCUACAUACUUUGAUCCCAUGCAGUUUUAUUUUGCUGAUAUAUACUUGACAAUGAACGACUGGAAUUAGUGGAUGUUUGCUAGAACUAAUGGUCGUGUAAAUCGGUAUGGUUAUAUUCUGGAUAUUGAUGCGCUUAGAUUUAUGUCCCAAUGUGCCUAUUUAAAUAGAAUUCAGAGUUGAACGGACCAUGUAUACAUUAACAUGUACGUUCCUUAAACUAGCUUAUUGCUUCCUUCAUGUAUUUUCGAUACUCAAGCUAGCCAGUGCUACCUCCAUCAGAAUAUCCAGGUUAAUUUUAUUUUCACACCUGCAAACAAAUUAUUUGCACAUCUUUUAUUGAGGAUAAGGAGGCAUACGAUGGGAGUCAAAGCUGCAGCCCUCAUUGGUGAGGCUGCUAAGUCGAGGGCCUGCAGGGGAUGGGCAGAACGUCCUGCUGGACUAGGGUACUGUUCGAGAUCAAUCUAUCACCAUUCGCUCAUGCCCUAACUCAAGAAGACCAGUAAUUCCAAUUCCGGAACUUGCUAUUUAGUUGAUAUAUAGUAGCACAAGCAAUUGAGCCUUCAAUAUGUACAACAUGUUCUAGAAUAUAUGAAAUCUAUAAACGAGACUCCUAAUACAUCUAAGCACCGGACAAUGUUUUGCCAAGGUGCUUAUGAGGCAAUAAAUAAUACAGUGUAACAAAAAGGUUUUGGUGUUGUUUGACAGUACGAUAUAUUGUUGCUUAUUUUCUUUCCUUUCAAUUCAAGAAGUCUUCUUGAUUGUUUGAUGACACAAGGGGUUGACACCUGCUUCUGCUUAUGACGUGGGAUAAUGUGGCGUCUAUAGCUCUAAUCAAACUCCAGCCGCUCCCAAUUGAAGUUAUGUGUUUGAAUAUACUUGGUGAUCACUUGAUACGUAGAGUUAAUGGAUCAAGACUUAGAUGGUUGUAGACUUGCAUUGUCAUGUGAAUAGGUGUAGUAUAUGAGAAUAUAAUUAUGCAUAAGAGCAGUACAUACACAUUUAGAGAUGGUCAGAACAUGCAUAUAAACCAACUACGCCAAUUGCUUUCUUCAUGCAAUUAUGCAGUUGUUAACACACACUGAUGUAGAAAUAGGGAAAUAUUGUAAGAUAAUGUAAGCAGUGUACUUCUUGGCACCCGCUUUUGUUACAGAAGUCAGUGGUUAUUGAUGUAAAUUUUGCACCAAGACAAUUUUCAUAUAUUGAGAUACAGCAUAAAUCUGUAGCUAUUUCUGAAUAUAUAUUUUUGGUAAUAUUAUGUUUGUGGUGUUUGAUGUAGCAAUGUUUGUGGUUUCUGAUCUUUGGUAAGUUCACAAUGCAGCAGCAAUUAAAGUGAUGUCAAAUCUUUCACAUUGCAGGUUUUAGGGUAGGCUCACCUGAUAUUAAAGUGUCUCAUGACUACGUACUUGGUUGGCAUUUUUUCUUUGUAUAUUAUUUUUGUGCCAUAUGUUCAACUUAAAAAACUCCAAGCAUCUCACAAGUAUUUCCUGUGUCUAACUCGGUCAAGUUACAAAUUAAUAUGUCGGGGCUUAGGUACUUCAGGUUUAAUUUGAAGCAUUAAUAGUCCAUCAAUACUUAAUCCUUUUUUUCAUCAAGAUUAUGUAGAGCACAGGAAAAAAAAAUUUAUAUGCAAGAUGAAUGAUAUGUUAUCAUAGGAGCUAGGGGAGAAAUGAGGUGGUUGAACUGCAUCGGCUGUAAGACUCCGUAAUUUUUUCACAUAUCCAUAAGACUGCAGUUCUACCUCCCCAUAUUAACCCCCAAGAUGCUUAUUACUAUUUUGGGCACACGUUUAGUCAAAUCCUUUCACGUACUUCAUAGCUUUUGGUGUCAUCACUGCCUAAAAGCCUCAGAAUUAAUGAUGAUAUAUUCAAGGUUCACUAUAUAAAUAGGGAAGUUCUUUUUAUCACGCCUACAACUAUUUUUUUAUUGGUACAUGUACGAUUUCCAAUGCACAAGAAUAUGUGAAUAAACAUCUGAGCUAUCGGUAAACACAGCAUAAUUAAAAGAAGACAAAAGAGCUUGAAAUUCUUUGAAUGAAUUAUUUUCCUAAUUAUGAUCUAUUCAAGGUCUAUUAUUCUUAUCUAUGAGGAAUUUUUUACAUGAUAUUGUCAUUUUGAGUACACUUAAUUUUUCUUUAUAUAUAUAUUUCCUUUUCACAAAAAAUGCAAGUACAUAUAUAAUGCUAGCCCGUGCUGCUGGGUAUGAUUAUAGUACGUAUUUUAAUAUUUGUGCUUAACUCCUCAGACUUGACACCCUGUGACACAUGCAUGCCGCUCUUCAUCAUGGACGACCUGAGAUAAUGGAUGAUUUGUGCUUCAUAAUUUUCAUCCGAUUGAAAAAAAAAAUCCUUAGAUAAUCGAGUAUUUUUUAGUGCAUUGCUCUUCUUUUUUCCUUCUGACUUUAAUUUCUAUCCUAUGCUAGCACUAGCCUGUGAGAUUCCUCCGUUAAGACCCUCCGUUCCCCAGGAUAUGGCAUGCAAGGAUGCCUAGAUCGUGCAAGCAUGGCUUGCACAUGGAAGCAGCGCACAUGAUGAAAUCUUGAGAGGGACAGAAGAACCUUGAGAAUAUAUUGAAUGGGGCAGGCGAGGGGAAGCUGGCUUGCCUGCUCUGCACCCCUGGUACCCUGCUGGAGCCCAUUGGUGCUCGCUCGAUACGCGGUAUCUACUCAUCCAUACCACUAUUGGUGCUUCCCUUUUCACGUCCAAAAAUAAAAAUGAUAGUAGAAUAAUUCCUCCUUGCUCCUUCUCUUUCGAGGUUUCGCUCGAGUUUUCAUCUGAAUCAAAGCAGUAAAGGAAGCAAAUGGUUUCAGAGUUGGAGGCUUGGAGCAUGGUCACCGUCACUGCUACAUGCAGGGAGAUCAGCGCCAGGUUCGUCUGCAUGAUUUUGCAAUGCGUGCGGCCCAUCGAGCUGUCGAACUAGUCUCGUGGAUCACCAGCGACUCUAUGGAGCUUCCACACUGCACGCCCAUCUGCAGCAUCACUACGUCAGCUGCCACCUGUUUUCUAAGAUGAGACUUGGAUCGUGGUUUUAUUCGAGGAAGAAAAGAGGAGGAGCUACCAUCUAUUCUGAUUGUGGAAACAGGCUUGGCAGGAACAGCAGAUUAAUUCUAUACGUGAAAGGAGAGGAACGUGCUGAUGGCCUUUUAUAAGGAAACGUGCUCAUGGUCUUGUGUUUUUUUUACAACUGUGCUCAUGGUCCUGUUUCUAGUGAGACACGGUCUCCUAUAACGUUGUUUGUUUUUCUUGUGAGAUUAGGAGUCUUGUAGCGUUUUUGUU